rnacentral:rRNA from 1 species
GACAGAGGGUGCGAACGUUGUUCGGAAUCACUGGGCGUAAAGGGUGCGUAGGCGGGUUUUUAAGUCAGAGGUGAAAUCCUGGAGCUCAACUCCAGAACUGCCUUUGAUACUGAGAAUCUUGAGUACGGGAGAGGUGAGUGGAACUGCGAGUGUAGAGGUGAAAUUCGUAGAUAUUCGCAAGAACACCAGUGGCGAAGGCGGCUCACUGGCCCGUAACUGACGCUCAGGCACGAAAGCGUGGGGAGCAAACAGG